CCGGAUGUUAGCGGCGGACGGGUGAGUAACACGUGGGUAACCUGCCUGUAAGACUGGGAUAACUCCGGGAAACCGGAGCUAAUACCGGAUAGUUCCUUGAACCGCAUGGUUCAAGGAUGAAAGACGGUUUCGGCUGUCACUUACAGAUGGACCCGCGGCGCAUUAGCUAGUUGGUGAGGUAACGGCUCACCAAGGCGACGAUGCGUAGCCGACCUGAGAGGGUGAUCGGCCACACUGGGACUGAGACACGGCCCAGACUCCUACGGGAGGCAGCAGUAGGGAAUCUUCCGCAAUGGACGAAAGUCUGACGGAGCAACGCCGCGUGAGUGAUGAAGGUUUUCGGAUCGUAAAGCUCUGUUGUUAGGGAAGAACAAGUGCAAGAGUAACUGCUUGCACCUUGACGGUACCUAACCAGAAAGCCACGGCUAACUACGUGCCAGCAGCCGCGGUAAUACGUAGGUGGCAAGCGUUGUCCGGAAUUAUUGGGCGUAAAGGGCUCGCAGGCGGUUUCUUAAGUCUGAUGUGAAAGCCCCCGGCUCAACCGGGGAGGGUCAUUGGAAACUGGGAAACUUGAGUGCAGAAGAGGAGAGUGGAAUUCCACGUGUAGCGGUGAAAUGCGUAGAGAUGUGGAGGAACACCAGUGGCGAAGGCGACUCUCUGGUCUGUAACUGACGCUGAGGAGCGAAAGCGUGGGGAGCGAACAGGAUUAGAUACCCUGGUAGUCCACGCCGUAAACGAUGAGUGCUAAGUGUUAGGGGGUUUCCGCCCCUUACUGCUGCAGCUAACGCAUUAAGCACUCCGCCUGGGGAGUACCGUCGCAAGACUGAAACUCAAAGGAAUUGACAGGCGCCCGCACAAGCGGUGGAGCAUGUGGCUUAAUUCGA
rnacentral:rRNA from 1 species